CCUACGGGUGGCAGCAGUGAGGAAUAUUGGACAAUGGACGAGAGUCUGAACCAGCCAAGUAGCGUGAAGGAUGACUGCCUUAGGGGUUGUAAACUUCUUUUAUAAGGGAGUAAGAGGAGGCACGUGUGACUGUUUGCAUGUACGUUAUGAAUAGGGAUCGGCUAACUCCGUGCCAGCAGCCGAGGUAAGACGGAGGGUACGAGCUUUAUCCGGAUUUAUUUGGUUUAAAGGGAGCGUAGAUGGGUUGUUAAGUCAGUUGUGAAAGUUUGCGGCUCAACCGUACAAUUGCAAUUGAUACUGGCAGUCUUGAGUAUCGUUGAGGUAGGCGGAAUUCGUGGUGUAGCGGUGAAAUGCUUAGAUAUCACGAAGAACCCCGAUUGCGAAGGCAGCUGACUAAACUGUGACUGACAUUGAUGCGCGAAAGUGUGGGUAUCAAACAGGAUUAGAUACCCUUGUAGUC
rnacentral:rRNA from 1 species